UACGGGGGGGAGCAAGCGUUGUUCGGAUUUACUGGGCGUAAAGGGCGCGUAGGCGGUCAGCACAAGUCAGUUGUGAAAUCUCCGGGCUUAACUCGGAAAGGUCAACUGAUACUGUGCGACUAGAGUGCGGAAGGGGCAACUGGAAUUCUCGGUGUAGCGGUGAAAUGCGUAGAUAUCGAGAGGAACACCUGCGGCGAAGGCGGGUUGCUGGGCCGACACUGACGCUGAGGAGCGAAAGCGUGGGUAGCAAACAGG
rnacentral:rRNA from 1 species